rnacentral:rRNA from 1 species
GACGAACGCUGGCGGCGUGCUUAACACAUGCAAGUCGAACGGAAAGGCCCUGCUUUUGUGGGGUGCUCGAGUGGCGAACGGGUGAGUAACACGUGAGUAACCUGCCCUUGACUUUGGGAUAACUUCAGGAAACUGGGGCUAAUACCGGAUAGGAGCUCCUGCUGCAUGGUGGGGGUUGGAAAGUUUCGGCGGUUGGGGAUGGACUCGCGGCUCAUCAGCUUGUUGGUGGGGUAGUGGCUUACCAAGGCUUUGACGGGUAGCCGGCCUGAGAGGGUGACCGGCCACAUUGGGACUGAGAUACGGCCCAGACUCCUUCGGGAGGCAGCAGUGGGGAAUAUUGCACAAUGGGCGGAAGCCUGAUGCAGCAACGCCGCGUGCGGGAUGACGGCCUUCGGGUUGUAAACCGCUUUCGCCUGUGACGAAGCGUGAGUGACGGUAAUGGGUAAAGAAGCACCGGCUAACUACGUG